UACAGAGGUCUCAAGCGUUGUUCGGAUUCAUUGGGCGUAAAGGGUGCGUAGGCGGCGCGGUAAGUCGGGUGUGAAAUCUUGGAGCUUAACUCCGAAACUGCAUUCGAUACUGCCGUGCUUGAGGACUGGAGAGGAGACUGGAAUUCCCGGUGUAGCGGUGAAAUGCGCAGAUAUCGGGAAGAACACCCGUGGCGAAGGCGGUUCUCUGGGACGGUACUGACGCUGAGACGCGAAAGCGUGGGGAGCGAACAGG
rnacentral:rRNA from 1 species